UACUGGCUCCUGUCUCUGAAGCUGGGUUUCCUCAACUAUAAAACAGAACAACAUCCAAUUUAGAUGACAGCCUAAUCACGGAAUUGUCAGAAUUAGAAGAAUACAGACUGGAAGCCGUUCACAAGUCAGGACUAUAUGCUACACGUACUUGAAAUUUUAUGCAGUUCAGCGCAGUGCUAUUUAUAAAAGAAGACUCCAUGAAUACUUCCUCAGUAAAGCAUCUACUAAACUACAAUCUAUCCAGAAAAUGAGAACCACAUUUUAAGAGGAUAAAAUACCUAAACAGGAAAAGUGGACAAGAAGGUAUGAAGAAGAGACACACUGCACGGAUUCAAAAUAUUCUAAAUGAUAUCUAAGUGAGAAAAACUGUUAUGUGACCCUGUUGAUGCAACU